rnacentral:lncRNA from 1 species
UCCUCCUUCAUAAGCCUCGAGGCACUGUGUCCAACAGGCUCCUCUCUCUCUCUCCUUCAGCAACACCAUACCAACAGAACUGCGUGGCAAUAAGGAGAGAUUCCUAAACAUGUGCUGCAAGAGCGUCUUCUUUCUACCUCCCGAGUCAGACAUGCCAGAGACAGAAGGAGCGCUCUACGCCAAGACUAUGGAUGCCUUGGACACCAUGCUGGCGGCCUUCGUACGCAACUGUCCCAACACCAGUGUCAGCAUAGAGUUGGAGAAUAUCUUGGAGGCGCUGCUGGACUUUGCCCUCUCCAAAGACCCAGCUGUGUGUGAGAGAGCUGUGAGAAGGAUUGAGAGGCUGGGUGAUUUCAUCAUCAGUUAUUUUGUGAGCGAGGUAAGGCACAAGGAACCCUCCACACUUUCCUGCAUCCCAGAGCAUCCUGCCACUCAGGGGUGCCUGCGAGGCAAACCUGGAUGCACGUG